GAUGUCUCUGUAUUUUACCACUUUUAAGCACAUUUUUCUCGUACAUUUAGCUAAGUUUCAUCUCUCUUUCAUUGCAUCCAGAGUCCUUUUCAUAACAUUUUCAUCACUUAGUACGAUUUGCAUUGCAUGGCAUAGCAUGUUGCAUAUUGGAUGAGUUUCAGGUACUUUGGAGCUUAUUUGGGACUUAAUGGAGCAAGGAGGAACCAACACGACCUUGGAGCUAGACUUGGGAUCAAGUUGGAGAGGAAUGAAGUCGUUCAAGAUCACCCAGGACCAGACUCGACGUCAUGGCUCGACUUCACGUCGAGUAGGACGCCAAGAAGCCGCCUGGGAGCAGACUCGACCACACGGACUCGAUGACACGUCGAGUAGGACGCCAGAAGGAGCUACCUUUGAAGAAUCACACGGGCUCGACGUGGUUGGCUGGACUUCACGUCGAGGGGGUGCUCCGCCGACUUCUUAUUUUGUCUUGUAGCCAAAUUAGGGCAACCUAGUAUUCCUAUAAAUAGGGGUUCACGCUAUUAUCCAGCGGAUAUUUCCUUUUACCCAGCAGAUAUUCCGCUGCUCUCUCUAAAAACCCUAGUUUUGUAAUCGUUUUUCCCUUUGAUCCUUUGAGUUUUUGGAUUUCGUUUCUUCAUCAAAGUUGUAGAUCUCCUUCUAAUCUAUAACAU
rnacentral:lncRNA from 1 species